rnacentral:rRNA from 1 species
UACGGGGGGGGCAAGCGUUGUUCGGAAUUACUGGGCGUAAAGGGCUCGUAGGUGGCCAACUAAGUCAGACGUGAAAUCCCCAGGCUCAACUUGGGAACUGCGUCUGAUACUGGAUGGCUUGAAUUCGGGAGAGGGAUGCAGAAUUCCAGGUGUAGCGGUGAAAUGCGUAGAUAUCUGGAGGAAUACCGGUGGCGAAGGCGGCAUCCUGGACCGGUUCUGACGCUGAUGCGCGAAAGCGUGGGUAGCAAACAGG